AACCCCCCCCCCCCCAAAAAAAAAAAGAAAAAGAAAAAAAAGAAAAUCCUAUUUUAUUUUCAAAUGUUCAGCUCGCUAAUAUGAUUGUUUUUGCUCCCUUCAUUUUGACCCUGCUUCCACGUAACUAAGUAGUGAGGGACACCUAGAGUAGUUAUUAAUAUAUUAGGUAAUGUGAAAAAAUACCUCAAAUUUUGACUGAAUUAAUCCUUUAAUCGGAUUCAAUUCUUGACUUAAUUAUCCAGUUCAAAAUUUGAGUUAGGCCAUUUAGAUUUAGAUGGAUUACUUAUAAAUCGACCCAUUUUGAUUAUGAAUCAACCCAAUUCUCUUAAUGAAGCUAUUAUUUUUUUGCAUUAUUUAUUAGGAUUUUGGAUUUUGUCCGAAAACCCAACUCUAACUUUGAUCUACCUAAGACUCAAUCUCCCAUCUAAUCUUAACCAUAUUCCAUCUCACUCAUUUCAUGUUGUGCAUUAUCUUUUCUUUUCUUUUCAUGGAUUUAGUAGGUAGAACUAUACUUUGUUGAUAUUGAUCUUGAUUUUUGUACGAGUACCCUUGAGGGUCCUCGAUCGAUUUAAUUAAAUUUCAUCGAGUCCAAUUCGAGCUCGAAUCAUCUCGAAUUGAGUCGAAUUAGACUCGACCACAUUUGAUUAGGCUCGAUUAGUUCGCUUAUUCUCGGGUCCGAUUUGAUUUUAAUUUAUUUUGGGUUCGGAUUUAACUUCAUUAAGUUAGCAUAGUCGAGUUACAUUGAACCUGAGCCCGUUCGAUUUGAGUCAAAUUAAGUUCAUUUUGGACUCAAAUUUGACCCAAACUAGCUCAAUUAGUGUUAGAUUUAAUCCAAUUAACUUUCCAAUGAAGUUUGAAUUUUUUUCUAAAUCCGGAAAUUCGAUCAAACCGACCUUUCUUCCCUAGUUCGCAAGCCGGUCCGCAGAAGCAGGGCGACCGAAGCCCACUUUCACUCCCUCCCUCUCUCUGUUCCCUCUCUGCUCUACUUCUCGAGUCGAAUCCGAGCCUUAACCGAAGCCCCUUUGCCGGCUCUUCCUGCCGCAGAGGGAUGGACUCAUCGAAUGAUAAAGGAGGAAGGGGAUGAUUCAACCCAGAGAAAGUAAGACGUAAUCUCUAUGCUGCCGAGAAUCGACGGCUGUAAACAUUGCAACGACAAAUACUUAAAGCUGGAAGUAAGUCGAAGCCGUCGGAUGAGGCGCUGGAAAAUAGGUAGCUCGCAGACGUGUCAGAUCGUGCGGUGGAUAAACUGGUUGCAUCAGCUCCUCAUUAAUCGAUAUAUUCCCUAUCUGAUGCUCGCACUGGAUUCAUCUAAAACUUCUUCAUCUACUAGAUUUGGAAAAGAGUGAUGUUACUAAAAAUCUUUGUAAAAGCAAUGUUGGCGAUGACCAUGAAUAGGAAUAUAAGAUUGGUAUAAAAUUAUUAUAAUAGAUUUGUUAUGUAUAAUUGUAUAUAUAAGCUUCAAGUAGCAAUUUAUUUUUGGAAGUUGAAAAAAUCGUGUAAUUUUAGAUUUAUGAUUUUUUUUUGAAUAAAAAUAUAUUUUGUAA